rnacentral:rRNA from 1 species
UGUUUAACGGCCGCGGUAUUCUGACCGUGCAAAGGUAGCGCAAUCAAUUGUCUUUUAAAUGAAGACCUGUAUGAAUGGCAUAACGAGGGCUAAACUGUCUCCUCCUUCCAGUCAAUGAAAUUGAUCUUCCCGUGCAGAAGCGGGAAUAAUAACAUAAGACGAGAAGACCCUAUGGAGCUUAAAACGCAAGAAUAGAUCACAUCACUUACCCUGGGUUAACAGGACAAGACAACUGAGUACUAUUCUAGUGUUUUUGGUUGGGGCGACCGCGGGGUAAAAUAAAACCCCCACGUAGAACGAAAAUACAUUUUUUUAAUUUAAGGGAAACAACCCUAAAAAACAGAAUCUCUGACUUUUUGAUCCGGUUUUACCGAUCAACGGACCGAGUUACCCUAGGGAUAACAGCGCAAUCCUCUUUUAGAGCCCAUAUCGACAAGGGGGUUUACGACCUCGAUGUUGGACCAGGACAUCCUAAUGGUGCAGCCGCUAUUAAGGGUUCGUUUGUUCAACGAUUAAAGUCCU